rnacentral:piRNA from 1 species
GUAGAUCAACCUGUGGAAAACUGACGGUCA